rnacentral:tRNA from 1 species
GCCCCCAUCGUCUAAUGGUCAGGACACCAGGCUUUCAAUCUGGUAAUAGGGGUUCGAUUCCCCUUGGGGGCA